CGGGAAAUAGCUCAGCUUGGUAGAGCACCACGUUCGGGACGUGGGGGUCGCAGGUUCAAAUCCUGUUUUCCCGA
rfam:Lactobacillus ruminis ATCC 27782, complete genome.